AGAGUUUGAUCCUGGCUCAGGAUGAACGCUAGCGGCAGGCUUAACACAUGCAAGUCGAGGGGCAUCGGGAGGGAAGCUUGCUUUCCUUGCCGGCGACCGGCGCACGGGUGAGUAACACGUAUGCAACCUGCCCUCUUCAGGGGGACAACCUUCCGAAAGGGAGGCUAAUCCCGCGUAUAUCGGUUUCGGGCAUCCGAGAUCGAGGAAAGAUUCAUCGGAAGAGGAUGGGCAUGCGGCGCAUUAGCUUGACGGCGGGGUAACGGCCCACCGUGGCGACGAUGCGUAGGGGUUCUGAGAGGAAGGUCCCCCACACUGGUACUGAGACACGGACCAGACUCCUACGGGAGGCAGCAGUGAGGAAUAUUGGUCAAUGGGAGAGAUCCUGAACCAGCCAAGCCGCGUGAGGGAAGACGGCCCUAUGGGUUGUAAACCCCUUUUGUCGGAGAACAAAACCCGGGACGUGUCCCGGACUGCGUGUAUCCGAAGAAAAAGCAUCGGCUAACUCCGUG
rnacentral:rRNA from 1 species